rnacentral:misc_RNA from 1 species
GUGUUUCCACGGGAAAUAAAUGCGCGUUUACUUCACGCACAUCACUAUCCAAUCAGUCGAGUUUCAACUCUCAACCGUCGUUACCGUUCCCUUCGUUUCCAGCAAGCAAAGCCAGAAUUCAUCAUUCUCUCCGCAUUUCCCUUUGAACAAAACAAUGGCGUCUCAAAACCAUAGUCCCAAAAAUUCCCUAUAUCCAGAAGUGAUGCUAUCAAAUCCCGAUUCCCCUUCUCAUCUCCACUCAAACCCUAAUCCUCAAUCCUCAUCUUCCAACCUCUACCCUACCAUAGACAUGCGCGACCUCGUCGAAAAUCUGUUCCCUGACCCCGAAGAAUACAAUCAACGAGCCCCCUCUGCCCCGCCGGAGGCCAUCGAGGAAGUAUUGAUCAAAAUUCCCGGUGCCAUUCUUAAUCUCAUCGAUAAAAACUACAGUGUCGAGCUCGCUUGUGGAGAUCUCUC